rnacentral:rRNA from 1 species
GACGUAGGGCGCGAGCGUUGUCCGGAUUUAUUGGGCGUAAAGAGUUCGUAGGCGGUUUGUCGCGUCGUUCGUGAAAACUCACAGCUUAACUGUGAGCUUGCGGUCGAUACGGGCAGGCUAGAGUUCGGUAGGGGAGACUGGAAUUCCUGGUGUAGCGGUGAAAUGCGCAGAUAUCAGGAGGAACACCGGUGGCGAAGGCGGGUCUCUGGGCCGAUACUGACGCUGAGGAGCGAAAGCGUGGGGAGCGAACAGG